rnacentral:rRNA from 1 species
CCUACGGGUCGCAGCAGUGGGGAAUAUUGGACAAUGGGCGAAAGCCUGAUCCAGCCAUGCCGCGUGUGUGAAGAAGGCCUUCGGGUUGUAAAGCACUUUCAGUGGGGAAGAAAGCCUUGGGGCUAAUACCCUCGAGGAAGGACAUCACCCACAGAAGAAGCACCGGCUAACUCCGUGCCAGCAGCCGCGGUAAUACGGUGGGUGCGAGCGUUAAUCGGAAUUACUGGGCGUAAAGCGCGCGUAGGCGGUCUGAUAAGCCGGUUGUAAAGCCCCGGGCUCAACCUGGGAACGGCAUCCGGAACUGUCAGGCUAGAGUGCAGGAGAGGAAGGUAGAAUUCCCGGUGUAGCGGUGAAAUGCGUAGAGAUCGGGAGGAAUACCAGUGGCGAAGGCGGCCUUCUGGACUGACACUGACGCUGAGGUGCGAAAGCGUGGGUAGCAAACAGGAUUAGAUACCCGAGUAGUC